ACAAGCAGCGGAGCGUGUGGUUUAAUUCGAUGCUACACGAAGAACCUUACCUGGAUUUGACAUGCACGUAGUAGUGAACCGAAAGGUGACCGACCCUUCGGGGAGCUUGCACAGGUGCUGCAUGGCUGUCGUCAGCUCGUGUCGUGAGAUGUUCGGUUAAGUCCGCUAACGAGCGCAACCCUCACUGUGUGUUAUAUGUGUCACACGGGACCGCCGGUCUUAAGCCGGAGGAAGGUGGGGAUGACGUCAAGUCAGCAUGGCCUUUAUAUCCUGGGCUACACACACGCUACAAUGGCCAACACAAUAGGUCGCUAAGCCGCGAGGUGGAGCCAAUCCAUAAAGUUGGUCUCAGUUCAGAUUGCAGGCUGCAACCCGCCUGCAUGAAGAUGGAGUUGCUAGUAACCGCAGGUCAGCUAUACUGCGGUGAAUACGUUCCCGGGGCUU
rnacentral:rRNA from 1 species